ensembl:rRNA 5S_rRNA 5S ribosomal RNA
GUCUACAACCAUAUCAGCCUGAAUAUACCUGAUCUCAUUUGAUCCUGUGAAGGUAACCAGGGUCCAGCUUGGUUAGUACCUGGAUGGGAGACCCUCUGGGAAUACUGGAAGCUGUAGGUU